rnacentral:rRNA from 1 species
AACGCUGGCGGCGUGGUUUAGGCAUGCAAGUCGAACGGAAUAAUACAGUUUAAGUGGGUUAAACCGUUUGAACUGUUUUAUGAUUAGUGGCAAAAGGGUGAGUAUCACAUGGGUAAUCUACCCUCGAACCGGGGAUAACCCGCCGAAAGGCGGGCUAAUACCCGAUACCAUCCUGGCUGGACAUCCAGCCGGGAUGAAAGAUGGCUUAAUCUGCUUUUGGUGGAUGCUAUCGUUUGGGGAGGAGCCCGUGUCCCAUUAGCUUGUUGGCGGGGUAAAAGCCCACCAAGGCGACGAUGGGUAGCCGGCCUGAGAGGGUGAUCGGCCACACUGGGACUGAGACACUGCCCAGACUCCUACGGGAGGCUGCAGUCGAGAAUCUUUCGCAAUGGACGCAAGUCUGACGAAGCGACGCCGCGUGAGCGAUGAAGGCCUUCGGGUUGUAAAGCUCUGUUGCUCAGGACGAACGGUUGUUAGGUGAAUAAUCUAACAGCUUGACGGUACUGGGUGAGGAAGCCCCGGCUAACUCCGUGCCAGCAGCCGCGGUAAUACGGAGGGGGCGAGCGUUGUUCGGAUUUAUUGGGCGUAAAGGGCGUGUAGGUGGUUAUUUAAGUCGGAUGUGAAAUCCCCUGGCUUAACCAGGGACUGGCAUUCGAAACUGAGUAACUUGAGUACGGGAGAGGAGAGUGGAAUUCCUGGUGUAGCGGUGAAAUGCGUAGAUAUCAGGAGGAACACCCGGUGGCGAAGGCGACUCUCUAGCCCGGUACUGACACUGAGGCGCGAAAGAUUAGGGUAGCGAACAGGAUUAGAUACCCUGGUAGUCCUAACCGUAAACGAUGGGCACUAGGUGUAGGAGGUAUAUCCUUCUGUGCCGCAGCUAAGGCUUAAGUCCCCGCCUGGGGAGUACGCCGCAAGGCUGAAACUACAAAGAAUGAACG